UUUAUUGUUAUUCCGGCGGUAUCGUUUUCCAGCGGCUCGCUAUUUUUCCGGCGAUUAACUGUUAUUCUCAAGCAUCGUUCCUAGCGGCUCACUGUUUUUCCGGCGUCUCACUCAAUUUUUUAGACUUUCUUUUCUUGAAAGUAGAGUCGAAGGAGACACCUAAACUGGGAAGAAAUAGAUAUAAUUUGACUAGAAAAAGGAAAGAGGCCUUAUGUACAAAUGCAGAGUGGAUUGGUUUGUUUCCUAGUAAUCAGAAAGAAUGGAUUAUUCUUUUGGAUCUAUCAUUCUACAUAUUUUGAAUUCAUAGCCCCAAAUUUUAUUUGAUUCUUUGAGAAUAUGGACUCUCCGAUGUGCCGGCCGAGCCCUCGAAGGCUGCAUUCAGCGACCUCCUUCGAAUUCUCGAUGCUCAACAUCCCCAAGGAACUUGGGCGAGCUGAGGCUGAUUUUGGUCGUCCAAAAACUGUUGUCAGAAAUGUCUAUACUCUUAUCCAAAUGUGAAAUCCCAAUAGCUCAACAAAAUCAAGAAAUAAUGGACUUAGUGGACCCAUCCACCCCAAUUUACGGAUUUCUCUAUGAGAAAUCUGGAGUAGAUACCGCAUUGGAGCUUGAUAUCAGUUGAUUCUUAACAAAACCAAACCAUGUAUUCAAUUGGAACAAGAUUGAAAGCAUUCUCCGGUUGGCUUAUCAAGGUCAAGCCUAUGAUAUCAGGAACUUUGGAAACUAUCUUUCCUGCAACUACUCAUGAAUAUGCACCACUGAUUUUGGAAUGAUGCUGCUGUUUGGGAUCAGGCUACCUACAAACGAGGAACUGAGUUGAAAAUGCUGCAAACGGAUUAUGAACCUCCGACUUUAAGGGAAUGAGUAGAUGUCAAUUACUGUUUUAGAAAUUCGCGAACUAAAAAUGCUAUAAUAUACUCUUUCCCAUAGCUAUGUUCAUUUUGGCAGUUGGGGUUAUACUCUUGUUUCUACCUCGAACAUUUCUUUUACUUGAGAGAGGGUGGACAAUUUUUUUUUCUAAAGAGAGAAGCUUGUUAGAGAUCAUAGAAAUUCUUCCAUAAUUUAAGUGGAAAUUCUUCAGUGGGAGUACUUGGAUUUGUCUAUCAAACUUGUAAAGUUAUUUGUAUUGAAUCUUUCACCUAAUUUCAUAAUUGUAUUGUAUGCAAAUUGAUGUA